rnacentral:lncRNA from 1 species
GCAGAUCAUGAAGUAGCUGCUCAGCACAUUAACUCCUUGGUAGCUGGCAGUUCCUGCCGCUCUGAGGACAUCCUGCUGCUUGUGAGAGAGCAGGCCGGGCACACCUCUGCACCAUGCAAUGCAGCAUCAUGUGUGAGACCUCUCUACUACCCCUAAAGGAACCGUUUUCCAGACCAGCCAGGGAAGGCACUGCACACAAUAGCUUGGAGGAAUAAUAGAAGGCUCAGAGAAGACGUCAAACUCUGUGUGCCUGGCUCCUGCACUCUGAAGAGGAUG